rnacentral:misc_RNA from 1 species
ACCUACUGUUUAAUUUUGAGGGUUCGUUUUUACGAAUACUCAAAAUUAGCACUUUAAGCAACGGGAUUUAUCCGUUGGCGCCGUGCUUUAGCACUUUUAGCAACAAAAUAAACUGAACGCAUGUGAAGUUUGUUUGUUGGCGCUGUGCAUUAGCACUUUAAGCAACGGAAUUUAUUCGUUGGCGCUGUGCGUUAGCACUUUGAAAACUGCAUAUAUAUUUAGUGAUAUGACAUCUAAUUUGUAAUAUAUAAAGCUGAUAACUUUUUAAGAUUAUCGAAGUUGAUAGCUUCUAAUCUAUCAAACCUUUUUAACUGGUCAA